GACAACCCGAAGGUGGAAAUAAUGACAUUUACUUGAAAACCCGCAAGAGAAUGAACUACUUGUUCUUAAUGUGAGUAUGUAAACAUAUGCAAAUGUAUGUAAAUGCUAGACACUCUUAACCAUUUUUCCAUCUGGAUGUGGCCCCUUGUGGUGAGGCCAGAAGCCAGUGGGCUCUAAGUGAGGGAUUCUGUCCAGUUUGCCCUGGGGCUGAGGGAUCGUUCUGUUGUUCUGUCCAUUCUCUAUUCACAGCAGGGAGGAUGGCUGGGGCACUUAGGUAGGUUCAUGACUUAUUAUCUUGACUUAGUCUGCUCUAAUGUGGAGAAGGCAGACUCCCUUCCCCUACCUCACCCCAACUGGCUGCCACCUCUUCCUGCCCAGUGCACAGUGCGAUAAAGACAGUAUCUUAUACUUUGAGGAACACAACUGAGGGAUAAAACCUUUCAUGUUUCUGGGCCUCAGCCACCUCCUGUACAAGAAUGAACCUGAUUCCCUCAGAGCUCUCUUCCAGAAGGUCGUAUCUGAAUUUAUAAUGUGAGCUAUAGCGUCAAGGCUGGGUGUUGUUAUGACUCACUGCCAUCUGAGAGCAAGAGAAAGAAAGAGCAAGAGAUUGGAAGCCUUUUUGGAACACACACGUGGGUUCAGAUCUUAGAUUUCUAACGGUUUAUUCUUGAAAAGGUUGCUUCACUUCCGAUUGCAGUGGUCCAUUUUCUUCACUAUAGAGUAUAUAUUAUAUUAAUAUGUUCUCAGUAUUAAUAUACACACAACAUUCAAAAUGUGGGUUGUGUGUCUAGCACUGGGCUAGAUUUUUCAAAUCCACAGACAGGAAAGCCACAGACUCUGCCUAAGAAACUUACUAUGGGAGCAAGCUACAAGGACAAAGUUUACACGUGAAUGCCUAUGUUACUCUGGGAGCGCAUGUCAAGCACACCUAACUCACCAAUCCAGCCAGCAGGACAGAGAGAAUGGCUAUAGCAAACUUUCAGACCCACCCUGGGUCAAGACAAAAUGGGAACAGCUUCUGAACACUAGAGGGCGCACAGGUUACAGAGUGAGCCAACUCAUUUGCACCAAGCUUUUGCUCCAAGCUCCACACCCAUCCCUUAUGCUCUGGGUAAUUGGAUUUCAGUGGGUUGGCUUCCAGAAUCUACCACAACCUCUCUAUGACAGCUAAUAUGUGCCUCUGGUUUGCUUGGGGGAAAAGCAAGGCCAGCAAGACAGGCACUAACCAAGAGGUCUGGGACUGACUUCGAAGACAAUGCCUAGCUAAGAAGAUCUGGUGAUUAAGGACUCUGGAGAGCUAUGUCCCUGGAUCCAAAUACGCCCAAUGCAGUUCAGUGGAAACCUGAGUAAACCUGAUUAGGAAGGUAGGAAGGAAGGAAGAAUGGAAGAAAGGAAGAAAGAAAGGGCCUGGAUGGGUGAGAUAUAAUAUUGUCAAUAAUUACAAAUUUUCUUUCCUUAUCACCAAUAUCUCUCAUGAUUGCUUGACAGGUACAUUCUAUAAAGGAAGUUAAUUAUACCCAUUAUGUGCCUAAAAACAUUAACCUGACCAAGUACCUAGAACAUCAGAAAGAUAAAUUGGUCCCAGAAAAUGGGGGUCACAGAGGACAAAAGGCAAAGGAAAGAAAUAGAGCGUAAAGGUAGAGAAGGGGAAAGGCUGCUGGGAAGGCUAAAUUAAAAUUACUUAGUAGGGAACAUUAGGACAUCUUUACUAUGUAGAUGAAAAUGACUUUCAGGUUCCAGGAAAUGUGAGCCCUUCCCUGGCCUGCGAUGGAAACUGAGGAGGUGGUUGGACUCUCAAUAUGAUUCUGAGCCAGUGGAAGAUUUCACUUCCAAGAACUUCAGGGAGUGUCCCAUGAUUCACUUUUCUUCAAGUGCAGAUGGAAUAUGAUGGCCCUUCCCUCCUCUUCCUGGCUGUCCCAAGCCUAGCAUUGUCCCCAGAAGAACCCAAGCAUUAAUUAUUUUUUCAUUGCAUGAUUCAAGAACUGUGUUGAGACCCUGAGCUCUGUCAGCCAUGAAAUGGCAUAGAAGCAGUACUUAUGGACCCUGAAAUAAUUAAAUAACACAAGAGAAACAGCUUGCAGAACUCAGAGAGUUAGUGUUGUUGUAGAUGAUUGUGUUUGGUAUGGUUUGGUUUUACAUAUUGUACCCCCAAUUGUUUUCGUGCUUGUUCC
rnacentral:lncRNA from 1 species